rnacentral:rRNA from 1 species
UACGUAGGGUGCAAGCGUUGUCCGGAAUUAUUGGGCGUAAAGAGCUUGUAGGCGGUUUGUCGCGUCUGCUGUGAAAUUUCGGGGCUCAACCCCGAACUUGCAGUGGGUACGGGCAGACUAGAGUGUGGUAGGGGAGACUGGAAUUCCUGGUGUAGCGGUGAAAUGCGCAGAUAUCAGGAGGAACACCGGUGGCGAAGGCGGAUCUCUGGGCCUUACCUGACGCUCAGGUGCGAAAGCUAGGGGAGCGAACAGG